UGCAGAUGGCACCAAGCUGAGGGCUCAGGCUGAUGUGACAGAAGGAACGGAUGCCAUCCAAAGGGACCUGGAUAGCACUGAGAAGUGGACUCAGAGAAAAAUACUUGGAGGAUAAGAAGGGAAGGAGAUCUUCGAGCUCUAGGAUUUCUGAAGUAGACAGAAUGAGAGGAAACAAUGCAAUAUGAGGAACGAACAGAAAGACAUCGUGGGCUGUUUGUUCUAGUCAGCCCAUGCCAGAGGAUGUGGUCAUUGUACACAAUCACUGAAUGAAAUGAAAAAGCGUCCUGGCAAAGGAAGAAAGAGAAGGGAUAAACAUGGGAACCCAGGGAUUUGUGCUGCUCUGGUAUCUCGUAGAAAAUAAUAAUUAUGAAUGGCUAAACUUAUGAAAAAAACCCACAGAUGUAUAGGAAACUGGAA